rnacentral:lncRNA from 1 species
CACAUAAAGAGGUAAUACUUUAUUUUUUAUAUCAGUGCUAUUUUUUUUUUGCCCUUGAUUUGUACCCCUUUGUUUUUGAAACUCCAAAACUUGGGGUUUUUUAAUCUUUACUUUUACUACUAUGCCCCCUACUUAUCCCAUUUUCCCUCUUUAUGAUUUAAGUUUUAAUCAAAUUCCAUAGCUAUUUCUACAAUAACUAUAAAGAGACGUUUCCUAUAUUACUAAUUGUUGAUGUCAUCAAAUUGGGUAUUGAAAACUGAAAAUUUUUGCUUAGGUUGGAUGGUUGGAUGUAGUUGUUACGGGAAACAGGACAAUUGAAAUUUUAAAAGCAUGAAUUUUUCACUUUAUUGAUUGGAGCAAGUUCAAUUGAAUGUUUCUGAAAUUUAGUUGACAAUAUGAAAGUUUAUGUUAAGCCGGCAGUGGAACUGAAUCUAAUGAGUUACGAUGUUGGAGUAAUUGGUGCAAUCUGUUUAAUCUUUUGUUUGCCUCACUAUGUUUAUGCUGUGCAAUUAUUUUUUAUUAUUUGGAUAAAUUUCCCAAUGUUUUAUCUACCUAACUGUUUUAACAUUGUGGAUGAUUGUGUUAUUUGAUAAAUUUCUCCAAUGGGGAAGGUUAAGAACCUAGAUACUGUUAUUCUUGAUUUUGAGGAUCACAAAGUACUUUGAAAUGUUUAUCUAACUCUCUUCAAAUAUAAGUGUUUUUUGCCUAUCAAAGAAUCAGGUACGAAUAUGUCAAGAAAUGAAAAUCAACCAAAAGAAGAAGCAAAAAUAGGACACUCAUGUCGGACGUCCGAAGGAAUCUGUCGAACGUCCGAAAGGAUGAAGAACAUCAAGAAGGAAACUCUGUCGGACGCUCGUAAGGAAGCAUCAGACGUCCUGAAGGAUCGGACGCAUGCUUCGGACACACAUCAAUCUCAUCGGACGUCCUAAAAAUUCCACGAAGCUUUGAUAACUCUCUGGACGACGUUCGGACACAGAAGUUCGGACGAUAAAAUCCCAUCGGACGUCCGAACAACAACUUGACUGAUUUUCGGACGAUGACUAAGCUGUCGGACGUCCGACAGCCCCAACGGCUAGCUGACUCUUCAUCUGCCUUCUAUCCGUUGGAAGCAUUAAUGAAACCCAUUUUUUGUUCCCUUUAAAUACAAACGAUUCUGAAUCAGACAACAACUUUUGCACACUUUGUUUACAAGAUCUCAAGAGAUAUUUUAGCUUGAAAAUAGUCUCCAAGACAAGAUUUGUUCUCCAAGUGGUGUGAAUUUCUUGUGAGCAUUUCUCUUGUGGUUGAAAGUUUUAUUAGUGUAGCUUUGUUGAGGGUUAUCUGAGUGAUUGUAAAACUUCUUAACUUAACUAAGUGAGGC